CCCCCCCUCGGCCUGGGGCUGCCCUGCGUGCCGCGGGGAGGCGAAGCGGCGGCUCCGGCGGCUAGGCCUGGGGCGGGUGAGGGGGGGUGUGCCGCGGCCGCCUGUGCGACCCGGGCCUGUCCCCGCGGCUCCGGCCCGCAGUGGACCGACGGCAGCCGGCACGGGGCCGGGGAGGGCGCCGGGGGACCGGCGUGGGCUCCGGGGGACCGGCGCGGAGGCGGCUGGGGACACCUCCUGAUCCCAUGAGCGCGGCAGGCGCCGGGCCUGCUGCCGGUGGCGGGCGUGACGCCCGGCGUGCUGCAGCCCCAGGAGGAGAGGCCAAGCACGGAGAGUUGCUGCUUUGGUGUUUUUGGCUCUGUGUGUAGGGGAUCCGUUGGGGUUUUUAUAAGGAACGGUGUAUACAGAGUUUUUGUGUCGUUAGUGUUUACCAGGGAUUGGAGAGGCAGUAGCUCAGGCACUGCUUGCCAAAAGCAGUCAGAGCAAAAAUCCAAGCGCAGCAGUGCUGCCUCCAACCCGUUCCUCAGUGACGUGGAAAGCAGAUUUGUGUAUUGGAGUACCCUACUGAUCUGCUUUUGUGGCACUUGGGAAUAGUUCUGCUUUGUAUAGCCCUGCUGUGGCUGCUUUAGGGUGGAAAGAAGCAGCUGUGACAACUACUUGGAGCUGUGUGGGAUAAAUUCAAGUCCUCAAACUACCCAUAAAGUUAGGUACAGCCGUUGUACAAGCUGGAGUAUAAAAGUUACAUCCUCCCAUUAAGAAUCGCCACUGAAAAAGUAUGACUGCAUAAAAUGUCAAUGUAGGAAUUACUAGUUUACCCCAAAGGCUUCAUCUAGGACUGAAGAGAGCAGGUAAUAACAGCAAAUGUCCCCCCUCUACCCUGCCAGCCAUUGGUGAAAGCACACAGAGAUGUACCUGCUCCUAGGAAUUCACUAGCAGCUGGAGCUCUACCAAGCUCUGAAGUGUGGAACCUCUCAGUCUCCUCCAGCCGAUAAAGUCUUAGUCUCUAUGGCUUGGUGUUGGGCCACCUGGCUAGCCAAGCUGCUUUCUCUUAAGCAUGUGGGAAAAUAGGGAAAAUGCAUGAAAAAUGUGGUAAAGUGGGGUGCAGCUUCAGUGAAGGAUAAUCUAAUUCUUUUCAAAAGUCACCUAACUUCCAGAGCAGUAUGUAUGAAUGAUGAGGUAGGUAAGAGUCUCACUACAUAGAAGAUGACAAUUUAUCAGAGGGGAAGUCAGGGUGGAGAAAAGUUCAGAAGGAACUGGUUUUAAACAACUUAACUCUGUUCACAUAGUGUACAAGGUUGGGAGAGGCUGCGACUACAGAGAAGGGUCAGGUACAGGACAGUUGGGGGGGAAUUUCAUUCAGAAGAAAAAACAGUGCAGAGUACAAACUUGUGUACUGAAGAAGUUUCUAAGCUGAAAGUUCCUUAGCUGGAAAUGCCAGGAGGAGGAAAGUCCGUGUCGCCUCUGCAGGAUGACGGCACAGCUAGGGGCCAUUAAUGUGAUCUGGCCAUUACAAAGCCAAAUACAGGCUGGAGAUAUUGGUGCAGCAUUUCUGUAUGGCGGUACGUGCUGCACUGCUGCUUUUGUCUCCAGAGCCCUGUUCUUGCUGCCAGGCCCGUGAGCAAUGCGGUCGGGCUGGGCUGGGUACAGAGAGUAGUUCAGAGGAGCAAGAAGCCAACCUGACAGGAGGAAACUAAAACAGCGGGGCUGGAAGUUUGCCAAAUGCUGCAGCAUUUAGGUAUGGUCAGAGGUUAUGAAAGUCCCAGCCUAGGUGACCCUACCUAUGUUUAAAUCCAGAGGUCACACAGCUGAACACCCGAGCAGCUCCCCUGUAUAAUUCAGCCAAGAUAACACCAUCCUAGUUAUCUGCACGGUUCCUCCUGCCGCAGCUGCCUGCCGAGUGCAGCAGGCGAGUGCCGCAGCCCUUGCUUGCCGCUAUCAUCUCUGCCUGGUCCUGCUGUCGGCUGGCUUCCUUCCUGCUGCUGUAGCUGUUGCACCGUGGCUGCCACUGCUGCACCUACUCCCUCCGUGCGCAGCAGUGGUUUUGCCCCUGAUGGGUGCUGUAUUUUCUCUCUGUGACCCGCUCCUGGACUGUAGCAUAGGGGCUGACGAGCGUCCUGCCUGAGGACGGUUCCACGCAGAGCGCGAGGCAUUACAGGCCUGAGAGCUGAUCUGGAGAGAAGCCUCAGGGAUUCCCCUGGAGACAAAGUGCCUGCUUCCUAACACUGCCAAUUGCUUUAAAAAGAGCUGAAGCUGGGCCAAGAGAAAAAUAAGUGAAUUCUAAGACCUAAAAAGAGCUUUUGCUUUUUCCAUUUAUCUUAAAUGACACAAGGACAGACUCUAUAUCCCUGGCUUUCAGUCCAACAGAGGCAUUCCAUUCUUGCAUGAUUUCUGCUUCUGAAGUCCUCAUUUCCAAGCAGGUUACUAGAAAGAGGAGUCCUUUCCUCAGGAGGAGUGGGCAGACUUGACGUGCAGGGCAAACGCAUCGCUCAGCUGUGAGCAGCUACUCUCUCUUCUGCUGUAUAGGGUUGAUAGCUCAGCAACUGUCAUAUAUCAGGUACACACAGAGCACGUCCACUUGCCAGCACAUCUGUGCUGCCGGAGUGGUGCAGUUAAUGUUGGGUUUAAAAUGUCAGGCUCCUUAUCUUUUGUUUAUUUAACAUGCUGAGCCAGAGCUGCAAUGUGAUCUCACUGCCGCAGCACACGGGCUGUGGACGUUGUUGGCCUGAAUGGAUUUAGGAAGGUGUUUCUACACAGCUGCUGCUCUAAGAUUGACUUUGGUUCUGGUUUUCCUGUCUUGUUUGGCAGCGACCCUGCGAGUCCCCCAGGAAUGGGAGUGCUGGUGACUGCUGCUCUCAGCCUGCAAAGCCUGGUUUCUAAUUGAAAGCUGGUUUCCAUCUCAGCCAGUUUUUCAGUAGACUUCUGCACUCUGGCCCAGCCUGGAGCCUUAACUAACCCACUGCAGUUUUCCAGAGCACCUUCCACUGGAGGCUGAGCUCCUUCCUCUGUGCUGAAGAAACGAUGCUGUGCCCUGCAACACACUUUCAGGCAGAAAAGGAAAUGCAGCGUGCUGAAGGGCUGUGCCCUGCUGACUCACAAGCACAUCUCCUGGGACAAGGAGGCAGCCUGCUCUCCUGACCAGCCAGUUCUUCCUUUGAUGCCCAUCUCAGGCUGAAGGCUGUUUAAGAAAUAGUGGUACUUUAAAAGGCUGUUUUGAAGUUGAAAGAUGAACAUAUAAGAAAUAGAAAUGUUUGGACUCAUUCAAAACAAACUUCCACUCGUGUUGAGCCCUGGUGGAACUAAGGGGAUUUAUCUGAGACAAUGAGUUGAAUACAGGGAGGAGAUGAAGCUGUGUCUCUGGAGAUGUUCUCAGAUUUUCCCUCUUCAGAGACAAAAGCAGAAGAUUUACAAGUCUGGUACAUGCGUGUUUGGAGAUCGAGCUUGAGAAGCUGGUGACCUAGAGGAGCAAGAAGCUGGUGAGCAGUUGGAGAGGUGACACGUGGGUCUCACCGGGCUGGCUGUACUACUGGUCCAGCUCACAGCCAGGCAGUGCAGAACUGGUGCUCACGCCUGCCUGGCCUGAGGGCAGCUGGGCAGGUGCUGCACCAGUGAUGUUUCCAGCAUCUUCCAAACAUGCACUUUCACUCAGAGAUGUUUGACUUGCGGGUCUGCAAAGCCCUUCUUUGGGUCACUGACUCGCUCCCUCGAUGGACUUUUAGUUACACAGGAUCCCUGGAUGCAGCAUGCUCCGGAGCUGUUGGCUAUUCUUGGGAAUCUGUGCUUGAAAACUAUUUCCUCUUUUGUUCCUACACCUUGAGCAAUGAUGUUCCUUAGCUCCCCCAUCCCUCCCAUGACGAUUCAGACCUCCCAGUCACCACAUCCUGCUCUUCCAGGCUGGUGCCAGCCCUGUGACAGCAAGGCUGGUCAUGCUUUGCUGCCGCCAGCUUCCUGGGCAGCUGCAGCUUGGCCUGAGGACCCUGGCCCAGCCUGGAGCCUGUGGGCACCUUGCCGCUGGAGCCCUCCAUGCUUGCACCAAAACUGCAGGCUGCAGCAGAAAACCCUGCUGGGCCACGAGUCUUCACUUGCAAAUGGCUGUUGCAGCUUGCUGAGACAGGGGUUUGAGGCAAUGAGACGGGUGCACAGGAGUAGGGGGAGUGUGAGGACCCCGUCAGCUCUGCUGAUGGCAAGUCCUGCACCUGCUUUCAGAGCUUGUCUCUGUGCAGGGCUUUGCUUAACUGGUGUAAAACAGGGUUGUCUUUGGUUCAUGCCUCAGCUGCACAAAAUCAGAGGACUUUGGGUCCGUCCGGGCCCACGUGGCCUGCUGUCCCCCAAGGCGCAGGCAGCUGAGGUUGCUGUAGGUUUCCUUCAGAAGGGCAUUUCAAUCCUUCUCUGUGAGUCUCUUUUUUUUUCUCCUCCUUUCUCCUGCCCUGUGACUCUCUGCAAGGAAGACUUUUGGUUUUGGGGAUGAUUCAUAGACUAGCAGAAGUCAGCCCUGCCCCAAAGGCUCAGAAGUCAGGAUGAACCUGAGUUAUGAUCCUAAAUGUGACUUUGGCCGUGUGGGUCAUGACGUGCUUCUCCCCUGUGCCCUGGGUAGCUGCCAGGAACCCAAAUCAGGGCUCACCCUGCACCCCAGUGCCUGCUGGACCACACAGUGCCAGGACGAACACCGUCUCCCUGGCAUCGUGCAGGCAGGAGACUCCAUAAAUAAAGCAGGACCCGAGAGCAGGACACAGCCUGGGGGCAGAUGGCCGAGGCUGCCACUGUGCUGUCCCCACCGAUGCUCCCUGGAGGGUAACAUGGGCUUCCGUGGUGCUUUGCAUUCAGAGCUGCAGGCAUCCACUGGUCUCAUGUCUUUCAGAUGAAAAGAAGAGAGCUGAUUAAUCCCGGAGCUAGAAAAGCCACAAAGAGGGAACUUCAGGGAGGAUUUAGUUAGCAGUGGCCCAGAUACAUCAAACUGUCUCCUGCAUAAAGCGAUAUCCCAUUAGCACUCCUCUUCAUGCAACACAGCUUACGUUACUUAUCCUAUUAGAUGACUGACGCUGCUUUGAUAUAUUCCAAGGACACUGUGCUAAACUUUCUGUCACAGUUUUCCCUGUCUGAUUUCAGACAGUCAUGUCCAAUGGAGAUGGCCGCCUGCCUGGUGGUGCCACCAUGUCCCUGCCAGGCAGGCAGGAUCCUGAUGGAGUGGGCACAGCAGCGCCUGAUGAGCUCGCAACUCCUGGGAAUUGCUUCAGGCCCACCAGGAACCAGAGCCUCUCCCAGGCCACCUCUCGCCACCACAGGGUCAUGGGGCUGGACCACGGCACUGCUGAAACCAUCCUGAGGCUGGCCUGGAGAGGACGUGAAAUGUCAGAAACAGGACAGGGCAGUAAUUACUGCAGUUAGGGCUUGGCUGAGCCCUGCCAAGCCUGUAGCCAUAGUCAAAAUAUUAGGACAGGGCAGAAAGAAAAGUCACUUUGUUGCCUAAUACCUGGUAAGGUAUUUCAUGAGACAAGUAGCCUUGACCAAAAUAUUUCCUGUCUAUGAGCAGAGGGAAGAGGAUGCUGUAAUCGGGUGUUGUAGCGCUGUAAAGCAAAUGAUGUUCUGC